GAGUCUAUACUUGCCAAUGGACAUUAAAACGCCUAAGUGAUGAACUUCGUGGACAAAGCUCAGUAUUUUUAAGUAUUUUGCCAUAUCUAUUGGGUAGUCAAAGGAAGGAGGUGAAAAAGUUUGCUGGUGAUGAUGUUACACUUAAAUGUGAUGUGAUUGGUUAUCCCAUUACUUAUAAAUGGACAGUUGAAAACGAGCCAUCUUUUUAUUUUGAUAAA